UACGUAGGGGGCAAGCGUUGUCCGGAAUUAUUGGGCGUAAAGAGCGUGUAGGCGGUCCGGUAAGUCAGCUGUGAAAGUCAAGGGCUCAACCCUUGAAUGCCGGUUGAUACUGUCGGGCUAGAGUCCGGAAGAGGCGAGUGGAAUUCCCGGGUGUAGCGGUGAAAUGCGCAGAUAUCGGGAGGAACACCAAUGGCGAAGGCAGCUCGCUGGGACGGUACUGACACUGAGACGCGAAAGCGUGGGGAGCAAACAGG
rnacentral:rRNA from 1 species